CAGGUAGUUAACUUCCAAGUUGGUACUAAAGAGGAACUUCAGGGAAUGAGCACAUCAAGUCCAAGAGUGCUUUGCAUUAUGCCCUCUUAUGUUUCACAGAAUGUUACACUAAUUAAUACUCUCUUUUAGGUGUUUUUCCUUUCAGAAAACAUUAUCUCCAACUAAGUACACAACACAAGAUGUCUAUUCAUCAGUACAACAUGCAGAGUAAACACUGAAGAUUGACCUUUGAAAGACCUUUUUGACACUCUGUCCCUUACCAAAGCACCUUCAAGUUUAAAGAUAGCUGCAGCACCAUGUGUCUCUGAGGGAGCCAUUUUUCGUCUCCAUCGUCUUCGACGGAAAGUAUCAGAACUGCGUUGCUCCCAGUGAAAUUUCCAGCCAAUCAGGGAAGCAUAUUCCCAUCCUUCCUGAUCUUCAUAUGAUGACCUUCCCUAGAAGAUACAAAUUCUUGUUAUCCACAGUGUUGUGUAACUGUAGUGAAAAAAAGCAGCAUUUGCUGUGGCAGGCCUAAAAACCCCCUCAUAAACCAAAGCUAGAAACGUCAACGUAGAAGAAGAUAAAGAAAGGGAAUAUAAUGAAAACAUAAACGGUUGUUCAAGAUUUUUUUUGGUUGGUAUUACACUUUUUCUUUACUCAGGUAAUGAGUAAUCUCAUGCAGUUCUUUUAAAAAAACCCAAAACCUCAAACUGUUAAAAUGUGCAAGUCCUGAUUGGAUCUCUCUUUUCUUACCCUUCCUGCUGUAACUCCUUCAGACAGUUCCCUCCUACGUUUCCGCACCAGUCUUCGUCGUCGAUGUGUGUGGUACAUUUUCUCUGCAGCAACCCAUGACUUGGGUUUAGUGUCCGGAGGAAUAGUAAUUCCAUAUUCCCAUCCUAAAACAGAAUCAAUGGGUUGAUGUAUUUUCAGAAAUACAAGCGAGAUAUUACGUAAAAAAGCAUGGGGAAUAGAGUGACUGUACCUACAGAGGAUGAAGAUUUAUCACACAAGACUGUUCAGCAUUGCAGACCCUUACAGCCCAAUAGCCAGGGAGCCACUGAUGACAUUUUAUAGUGAUGCUGUGUUGUAAUAUAUGUGACAAUAAAAAUCUCAACAUUAAAACAGA